rnacentral:rRNA from 1 species
GUCCUUAGUUACCAGCACGUUAUGGUGGGCACGUCUAAGGAGACUGCCGGGUGACAAACCGGAGGAAGGUGGGGAUGACGUCAAGUCAUCAUGGCCCUUACGGCCUGGGCUACACACGUGCUACAAUGGUCGGUACAAAGGGUUGCCAAGCCGCGAGGUGGAGCUAAAUCCCAUAAAACCGAUCGUAGUCCGGAUCGCAGUCUGCAACUCGACUGCGUGAAGUCGGAAUCGCUAGUAAUCGUGAAUCAGAAUGUCACGGUGAAUACGUUCCCGGGCCUU